UGGAAGACUAGUGAUUUAGUUGUUUUGAUUAUGGAAUAACAAUAAAUCACAAUCUUCUAUGA
rnacentral:pre_miRNA from 1 species